rnacentral:lncRNA from 1 species
CCGAACAUUAUUGAAAGACGUAAUCGAGAAUGUGAGGUUUGAACAGUUCUUGAGAACAGCAGGAGGUGGAGGGCAGUUGGAAACUUCGGCACUUGAGGUAAGGUAAUUGUCUGAAGCUAGUAUAGAUAAUGCUUUAAGCUCAGUACUAUAGCAGCUCACGCUGUGCAACAAAACCAGCCCCUAGCGAAAGUUCCUCUAGUGUCAACGAUCUCACGUAAAAGGCCACCCGCGCAAUACGUGUGCGGUAUAUUAUACGUGUGUGGUAGGUCGUGCCUGAUUGACGCAGCGGAGGCUCUCCUCGAACUUCCCCCGCGCUCGCCCCCAGCAGGCCCCAGCCCCUCGCCUGCACGUCCAUAGCUCACUGUGCUGAUCGUGCACCGCUGGCUUCCGUUCAGAUGUGAAGGGGUUCUUCCUUCAUAAUGUUCAUUUUGUUUUCAUAAUGCGAGGUGCCGCACGCUUUCGGAAUAACAUGGAAUUGCGAUGACGCUUUUCCGUGAUCGGCGGCGUUGGGGGCAGCGGCAGCGGCGGCAGCGGCAGCGGCAGCAGCGGCGGCGCGUGCGCGCAUCUUGGUAGCGGAGGGGGCGGGAAAGGCCACGUGGAGGAGGAGAGCGCAGCGCCGCCCAAGAAGCGGCGCAAGCGCGCAGGCUGAGGAGCCGGCUGGUGUCUAGAUAGCGGUCCGCGGUGGGGCUGGCAGGGCAUGCGUAGCGGCAUGACAAGUAGUGCGGCUGUUGACAACUGUGCUGCGUCUGGCUACGGUUGGCUCUGCUGUGGCAUUGCGAUUGCUAGGCACCUGGUUUGGCUAUGUGCCUGUGGAAACCGACCCCGGCUAUGUCCGGGCGAUGAGGAUAACCGGGCGAUGAGGUUGUUCGGCCUCAGACUGUGGAGGGGCUCAGCCCCUUUUCCCGUGACCGGGGAACACUUGUCCAUGAUCAUGCGACCGCAACUGCUACGUUACCUUUGACGAGAUAACCGCGCGCCAAGCUGCGCCACUCCGGCGUCCUAAAGCUUGUGACUCUCAGCUGGUGGAUACGGCUGUCAGAGGCUGGGCUGGCGUAGACUGGCCGCAGACUACCAAGCAAAGGCUGGUGACAACGCGAACCCCAAGAGACCCACCUGGAACGCAGCCAGGCUCUUAUAGCAAUGACGACUGAAGUCUGAGUAUGAUCUGAGUGCCAGAGUCGUAACAUACGUUGGACCAAAUGUACUGCGGAUGCUGGCGUGCGCACAACCUCCCGGACCGG